GUGUUAGUGCAUCAAUACAUAUACUAAAAUAGGGACGAUACAGAGAUUAACGUGGCCCCUGCAAAAAGAUGUCACGCAAAUUCGUAAAGUAUUUCAUUUUAUU